rnacentral:rRNA from 1 species
UUGGGUUAAGUCCCGCAACGAGCGCAACCCUCGCCUUCAGUUGCCAUCAUUCAGUUGGGCACUCUGAAGGAACUGCCGGUGACAAGCCGGAGGAAGUGGGGAUGACGUCAAGUCCUCAUGGCCCUUACAGGUGGGGCUACACACGUGCUACAAUGGCGACCACAGAGGGGAGCGACCCUGCGAGGGGCAGCCAAUCUCGAAAAGUCGUCUCAGUUCGGAUUGCACUCUGCAACUCGAGUGCAUGAAGUCGGAAUCGCUAGUAAUCGCGGAUCAGCAUGCCGCGGUGAAUACGUUCCCGGGCCUU